rnacentral:sRNA from 12 species
AGAAUGGUAUUGUAAAGCCUGAUGACCUCGGACACUCGUAGAGUGUCAUAGCUGCUGCUGAAAUGUAGCGGGUGAAAAUGAAAUCAGGGCUCAGGGUGAGCCAUUCA